rnacentral:rRNA from 1 species
AUGAAUUGUACAAACUAUGUGCAAAUACCAGAUUUCUGGUCGAGGGAAUGUGUGCAUCUAGAUUAUAUGGUUAUCGAUAAAUGUCAAGUGGCAAUGCCUGUCCGGAUGGUGGAUAGUUUUGGCAAGUCCUCCCACACUUGGGGUGAAAAAGGAACUGGUAAAGAGGGGCAAACUUUGGGCAAAGCAAAAGGGAAAGCGGGUUGUAGAAAUACGCUUUCCCAAGCCUUUCUGGAUAUAAAUAGUACACCUCUCCUCUGUUUUGAGAGAGUAUGUGAUCCCCUCGAGGAUUUAGGGUUUCCUCUUACCCCGCCGCCACUGGGUGAUAGUGAAGAGAGCGAGAAGAUGAACAGGGGACCUGGAGGUUAUCGGGGAGGAGGAAGAUUCAAUAGGGGAGGGAGAGAUAGUUUCCAAUAUAGGAGAAAAGAAGAAGAAAUUGACAGGUUUACAGAGAUCUAUCCCAACAAUGAGAGAGGAGGUGGAAGAUUUGGGUACAGAGAGGAGAUUGGGAAAUUUGAUCAGCAAGCGGAUGAAGAAAAAAGGGGGAUGGUAGAUCUGAAGCCCCCUUCGAGCUCCAAGGAGGUAUUUGUGAAGAGGAUAGAAGAUGAUCAGAAAGCUAGAGACCUCAAAGGAAAAGAGGAUGUGGUGAUGCCUGUUUCCUCCUUCGAUCUGAUCCAACAGCAACAGUGGUUUGGGGCUCUGAUGGCCCAGAUGGCCCAGCAAAAGAAGGAGAGCUCGUCUGGGGGUGGAACUGUUACCCCUCCUGAGAGCAGUAGAGGUGUUCCAGCUGAUGAGACUAAGAAAGAGUUUAAUGGAGGAAAAUAUCACAUGAACAAAAGUGAAGCUAACAUGGAUGUGGGGAACAAGCAAGUUCAGAGGGGAUGGUUUCAGAACAACAAGUUUGGUCAGAGAGAGAGCUUGGAUCAAAACAAAGCUUGUGGAAACUUCGGAGUGAUAUGCAACAAGUGUAAGGACACCAGACACAUGUCCAGGGACUGCAAGUUACCCAACUGUAUUAUUUGUGGCAAGAAUUCUCACAUCACUGAGGAUUGUGCUUGGCUGAAGCAAAUCAAGCCAACCCCCAAGUUCAUUGGAUAUGCAGCUAGAGGAUUGGGAGUGCUGCUGGUGCAAAAUUCUAAAGAGGUGGUCAGUACUGAGCAGAUUAAUCCUAUGGCCAUUGUGAACAUAGCUUCUGGAGAGAUCAAUGAGACACAAUUUCUGGAAGGGUUUAACUACAUGUUCAGUUGGAAUUGGCAAUGGAGAUGCAAAAAACAUGGAGACAAAGCUUAUCUGAUGAGAUUCCCCAGCAAAAGUAGACUGGCAAAACUUCACAAGUUUGGAAAUUUCAAUCUACUGGGGACCAAUGUUGUCAUCAAUGUGGGCAUCUAG